GCAUUUCAACACAUCAAUCUGUAUCUAAUGAUUGCCCACCUGAAAGGAUGAUUAUACGUUGAAAUCAUUGCAUUGUUUUUUCGUGAAUUUAUAAUGUUGAUUUUUUGUUUGAGUUUCAGCAUGUGAUUGACCUAUCAAGAAGAGAAACCGUGGUGUGCCUCAUUGGUGGAAUGAAGGUGGAAGCUGACAGAGACGAGUCUUCCACAUAUGCUGUCAUGCUUGCUUCAGAUGUUCCACAAAGAUAAAAAAUUGUGGGACUCUCAAGAAGGGAAUGUGGUUAAGUGAGCUUCAUUGCUUGACGAACUUAGGUCCAACGCUUGCAGUGGGAGGAUGGAAUUCUGAAGAAGGCUUAGUUGUAACUUGUAAGUUAUGUAGGAUUUGUUGUGAAUAAUUGAAAUUCAG